GGACCUGAGCCCAGCUGUGUGUCCAUGAAGAGUGACUGGUCUAUGGAUAAACCUACUGACUUUAAAGAAAGAGAUGCUUCUGAGAAUACGAUCCAGCAGGAGAGACCAGACUCCCCUGGACCCAGCUGUGUGUCCUUCAAGAGCGACUGGUCUAUGGAUGUACUUAUUGACUUCAAAGACUCACAGCCCUCUGCUGAUGAUGGAGUCCAGCAGCAGAGCUCAGAGGUUCCCAGU